rnacentral:rRNA from 1 species
ACGAACGCUGGCGGCAUGCCUAACACAUGCAAGUCGAACGAGCCCUUCGGGUCUAGUGGCGCACGGGUGCGUAACGCGUGGGAACCUGCCCUUAGGUUCGGAAUAACUCAUAGAAAUUUCAGCUAAUACCGUAUAAUGUCUUCGGACCAAAGAUUUAUCGCCUUUAGAUGGGCCCGCGUUGGAUUAGCUAGUUGGUGGGGUAAAGGCCUACCAAGGCGACGAUCCAUAGCUGGUCUGAGAGGAUGAUCAGCCACACUGGGACUGAGACACGGCCCAGACUCCUACGGGAGGCAGCAGUGGGGAAUAUUGGACAAUGGGCGAAAGCCUGAUCCAGCAAUGCCGCGUGAGUGAAGAAGGCCUUAGGGUUGUAAAGCUCUUUUACCAGGGAUGAUAAUGACAGUACCGGGAGAAUAAGCUCCGGCUAACUCCGU